GGAAGCGCGUGGGUAGGGACAGUGAGUGGGAGCGUUCACAAACCAGACACCGCCCCUGACAUAGCUCCGUCAGGUCUUUCCUGAGGAAAGCCCCGGUAGUUCCCAUGUUCAGCCGCGCUUACUGCAAGUGAAGACUACAGCAGAUGCUGUUUUGGAGCGGGCAGAUGAGCCUGGCCACUCUCGGCGGUCCGUGUGCUUCAAACUCGCAGACUGUCCAGGACUGGAGGUGUUCAUGGGUCCUUUUAGCACACGUUUACCUGUCCGUGGCCCACUGGCCAGGCAUUUCUGCAGUCGCUUUUAAAACUUGCCAACACAGCCUGCCUUCACCAUCUCCUGCGGCAAUUACAAGACAAUAUUGGUUAGUUUCUCCGCAAACCAUGACCUAGCAGUCUCUAAACAGCUGUACACUUCGACAAAAAGCAAGCUUUAAAAAGGAUGUUACAGGACGGCUGUGAAAAGCAUUAGAGUGCCACCAAAGGCUCUGGCGUGAAGACGUUUGUGCGAUCCUGCGAAGGCCAGAUAAUGGAGCCUGGCAUCAGUGGGCAACUGAAGGCAAGGAACUGCAACUGCUCCAGCAAAUGACAGACAAUAGGUAGCGAAAGGCCAUAACCGAGAGGAAAGCAGAGCACAGAGAGUCGUUCUCCAGCCGUCAUCUCAUGCUGUAAUGACCUGACUCAGCCUGAUAAACUAGUAGAAAAAAUAACCCCGAAGAUGAGCUUUCUGGUGAUUUAAUGAAGCGAACUGGAGUACCAUGGGGUGAGCUCAGCACUGGAGCUGGCACAGGGGAGCAAGGCAGCAGCGUCCCGUUCAUUUCAGUACCAGCUAACCACUGGAAUCGCUCAGCUGGUCUGUGAAACUUCGCCCUCAGUGGACAAACGCAAACGGGUUUGUGAAAUAUUCAAAAUAAUAAUCAUAAAAAAGAUCUUUGGAGUAGCGCUUGUAAUAAAGCUGGAGGACACUACGAACACAUUUGUUUAGACCAGAAAAUGCCACAGUAAUUGAGAUAGAAGAUAA